ACUUAAACUCAAACGGCAACAUGAAUUGUAUUUGUGUAUUUUCGCUCAUGUGCCUGUUUACCACAAAUUUGUUAUAACUUGUACCGAUAAUUUAAUACUCAAAGUAACAUUCCGCGAUAGUUGUAAUUUGUUCUCAGUCCAUUCGUGUUUCUACACAGACAUUCUCGUUGGUUGUGAUUUUUGUGCUUGUUGGAUCUUACAAAUACACCAUGGCAAUGUCUUAAUGUGAUUCUUGUAAAAAUUACCAAUCUGGCAUAGCUCGUUAUUAAAGAGACACAUAAUCUCAACUGCGUGUCGUGAGUGAAAUAACACUAAGGAGGAAGCAGUAGUAGUACAAGUAGUAGAAGCAUAAGUUCUACCGAUGACACUGACUUUACUGUUGCUGAUUCUGAUGGAGUGUAGACCUACUUUGUACUCAUUAUUCCACAGGGAAGUUUAUGCAACCGAUGGAGAAACUAUUAAUCUUGAAUUCGAUGGGAAACAACCUUUUCAAAUAACUUUUUCACAAAGCAAUGACACGUUUACUAUUGGAGGCUGUUCUUCGUUUGACGUCUGCUAUUUCAUGAACUCCUCACUAACCGAAAAAUACAAAUUGAAAUUAACUUCCAAAGUCGGACAUUUAACGCUGCUCAAUAUCAGUAAUGAUCAUUAUGGAAAAUACACAAGCAUUCGUCUGCACACCGAAGACACCGAAUCGAUGUCAUAUUCAGUAUUACCCAGGUACAAUAUGGUUAAGAAUGGAUGUGGUGGCGCUGGAACAAUCUUUUCUGUUUGGACUGUUCUUGGAUAUCUUACCUGGACGUGUGUUGUGCAAAGCUUAUUAAUGUUGUCUUCACGAAUAUAUUAAACCGAAAAUAUAUUGUACAUAUGGGUGUAUCGAUAUAUAUAUAGAAUAUUUAUGGGAAGAUUAUUAUGUAUACUGUGUUCAAACCUUUGAAAUAUGCAAGCCUAAGAUUUUACAAGAUCGUUUGUUGGUAAGGUUUAUUCUGAAAUUUAAAAUUAUACUUGAUAUGAACGUUUGUGAAGAUCCCGUGCAGUUAAACGACAAAUCCUACUUUGAAAAUGAUGUUAAUAAAUAUACAUAUGCUUAAAAGAGGUAUAAUCACAAGACAAAAGGAAACUGUGACAUUAUAGUCACAUAUUUAAAACUGUUUGUGUUAAUAUUAACGAGACUGGAUAUGUUAAAUAAUUGUGCACACUUUAAAGCAAUGUUAAGUUUGUGAUAUUAUUGUAUAUAUUUGCAAUGUUCAAUAACAGAACUGUGUUGUUAAUGUUUGUUUAAUAUAGAUUAUGUUUACAUAGAUGCUGAAUGUAACUAUUUAAGACAAUGUUUUAACAAUUUUAUGUGCAUAAUUGUUCCUUUAAGUGAAAAUAGAAUAAACAUAGUAAAAGCUAGAAAUAGUUAUUAAAGCAUUAUUAGAAAAACAUUUGUGUAUGAUUAAACUAUAUCACACAGACAUGAUGUUGCGAUAUUAAAUUAGGCACAUGUUUAAUGUUAAGGAAUAUUAGUAUCGGAAAGGAGUUUUGAAAAUAAAAUGUAAUCAACAAACAACAAAAUUUCUACAUUGAGCCCCAAUCUGAUGCAUAAAUGUUAAGUACUUUUAGUCAGAUAUUUAAAUGGGGAACUGAAGUUAUUAUGAAUAUUUUUACAUUUAAGUUAUUGUUAAUGCAUUUGAACACAGACACAUUGGUUAAGCUACUUGGCCUUAUUUCUGCGUGUAUCUAUAAGCCAAUGGCAUUCGGAACAAUCGAGCUCAAAUAUAGAUGUAUCAACUAAAAUAAUUGUUGUCAUUGCGGUCUAACAUCCAUCCUAUGUGACAUCCAUCCUAUGUGAUACUAUGUGAUACAAGGAUUACAAUGUUUAACCAUGGUGAUCAUGAUAAUUGGUUUUCUUGGAUGGACAUAAGUGAACUUUUUUAGAACUAUCAAGAUUCUAUACAUGUUUGUCUGUAAACAAAAAGCAGCUAUGCAAAUGUUGUCAAAGAUAUUUUAAGAAGUAUCAUAUUUCCUAUGUUAAGUUAGUCCGUAUGACAAUCAGUGCCUGCAAAUAAAUGUUUUACUAGUUAUUAAAAAUCUUACCACAAGAAUGUACAAGUCACUUGACCACCGUGUUGUGAUCAUUUUUAGUAAGACAGUGCAAAUCUAAGUAGUAGCUGCUGGCUUUUUUAUUAAACACAUGUAUAUGAUUUCUUGUUUAUUGUGUAAUUAAUAAAUCGGCUGUUACUUGUUGUUCCAUGAUUCAAAGACAGCAUGGUAAUUUGUUUUAGAUAAUAAACUUUGUUACUACUAAGUCUUGCUAACAAACUGUAUCUUAUGCUGUAUUAUACUUGUUGUUUACUAAAUAAAUUAAAUAGUGUAUGAAACAUA